GGGGCUGUAGCUCAGUGGUAGAGUGCCUGCCUUGCAUGUGUGAAACACUGGGUUCAAACCUCAGCACCA
rnacentral:tRNA from 1 species